GCACAGUGCUGGCGCAAGUCGUCUUGCGCCAGGCGACUGGGUCUGAGGAGGCAGGAGUUAUUCAUUCCCUUAAGCUUUCAGGCCGGGGGGAGAAUCUUUCAGGUGGUAGCUGCAAGAACUCUUAGUAUGUUGACCUCACCUCUGCCUUCCACAUACCACUACCAGUGAGGAAUUAGGAAUGCAUGAGAAGAGUGUCCAAGAAGAGUGUCCUCAUUCAUGCAAGGCUUAAGAGAGAAUGCAGGUCAACAUCACCAUGUCAAUCAGAGGUGCAGAUGCUGAGAGCACUUUCUAGUCAAGUCCUGCAUGUUCAUUUCUGUCUCAAGUCAGCUUCUCUGAGAAUCCAAUUUAUAAAAAUAUAUUUGUGAAUGUAUAAGUAAAGUGACUUGGAUUUUGUCUACGUACAAGGACUUCUAUGCCUGCAUAAAACAGCGUAGUUUGGAACCAGCAGCAGCAGCAGCUCCCCAGACCUACUGAAUCAGAAUCUACAUUUUGAUAAGAGCCCAGGGUGACUCCAUGUACGUGAAAAAGUUUGAGAAGUCCUUAGACCUACAGUUCACAGCUUCUCCUUCUUUCUUAUUCAACUGAAUUGCAGUGGGACCUGAGUAUGGUUAAAAUAAAUGAAUAAAAACACAAAUCAA
rnacentral:lncRNA from 1 species